UUGUUUACUGUGGCAUUGCACAGGCUGCAGGGUCCAAGACUAGCUGCAAUAAACGGUAAAAACCAAAGGAAACUCUCUAGACCAGGAAAAAUUUUGCGAUAGAAACGUGGUUUUGGCUUUCAAGGAAAGAGGCACUUGACUAGCAUUUUAGCUGGGAUAUUUUGCCCUUGUCCAAGCUCAGCUCUGGAGACUCGCCAUCAGCAUGGAGGAGGUGCCGGGAGCCUGACUGGAGGGUGAGCUACUGCCCAAUGGGAAAGAUCCUGCCAAGUGACCUGGUGUAAACUGCCAGUCUGAGAGGUGUAAUCCUGCAAGCGUUUGAUCCAGUGGCUUUGCUUACACUAUGGAGGCAACUCGUGCGUUGAAAGCUGAAAUUCAGCAGAAGCUGAUGAGACCACCACGGAGAAAUGCUGGUUCACCGCACUGGCUAGUACCAGCUUGAUCUGGCUCUGGCUCUGGGAUGUGCAGCCUACAGACACAAUAAUGAAAAGAAAUAUUCUGAAAAGGAUGAGUCAGCUGGAGGCCGGUGGGGAGAGCGUGCGGGAUCUGACUGGAAUUUAAAAAGUUAUGAGGCUACAUGUUGUUUUGAGCCCUGCCAGUGGAGAAACUCAUACACGCGAAAUGCUUUGUCAUCUGGCAUAAUUAUGUUACUUUGCUGAUUAGCUGGUAAACUCUUUUCAAAAUGUAUUUAGACAAUAGUAAGUUCAUGAAAUAUAAAAACUUCCUGCUGACACCACUGUCAAGGGCCUGCUUUACACUUUAUUGAAAACUGUGUUCCCCAGAACCCCAUCAGACUAUUGAACAGCUGUGAAAUUGUUCUCUUCUGUAUUAGACGAUGUAUCCAUUGAAACAGUUGAGGUAGAUUCACACCUUCAUUUCUGUGCUGUAAGUACCUCUAUGCUGAUGUGAGCUGUGCAUACACCCACAGUCGUGGUGCAAACUGAAUUUCUUGAUUUUUGUAUGUUUGCACUGAUUGGGACAGCAUCAGUUUGGUGUGAAGCUUCUUCAGUCACUCCUCCAUCCAGGUACCAACACAUUCUUCCUGAUUUCACUGGAAAGCAGUGCCUGGUAUUUGGAUAAUUUGCAGGACAGACUACUUUCAAAGAUUUGAGGUUUUGGCUGUAAGGUUUUUCAAAUAAAUGACAUUUAUUUGUUGUGUGAAAAGAUAUACUUUCCAUUCUCUCUUUACAAAGAGCCGAUCUGUCCAGUCCCACUCCCCAAACCUGGCCAGACAAGGGGGGAGAGUCUGUGCUUGUUUCUGGAGCCUGUUCAAGCAGGGGGUGGGGGGGGGGGACUGUGACACUACUGUGACUGGCCACUCUUUGCAACUGCACUAUGUCUGCCUUUCCUGCAUUCCUUCGUCUUUCCUUCCAAGAAGCCUUAUCAUUUACAGAAAUGUUGACAUAAACUGUGCAACUGGUCAUAAGAAAGAUGAGUACCCACUGGUGAGAGUGAGGUGUAACUAAUUUUUACCCUGUCUCAAACAAGUAGGUUCCUUUCUCACGUGUGGAUGAAUGAGACAUCAAUUCAAUCAGACUCAACCAGAACAGGUAACUUCUCAGAGGUUUCCUGUAAUCUUUUAUGGGAAGCAGGGAAGUAUCGACAGAGUUUUUUCACUCUCAUUGACAUGGUGUGAGAUAUUAUUCCCCAGCUGCCUGGGAUGGAUAACAAAGGGCCUGAAGUGGGUUCAGAGCCAGUAGCAGUUUUCACUGAGGGCUUGCAGAGGACCUUUACACUUGGGAAAAGAGGCACCAGUGAGUUUUAGACAAGGCAAUCCAGUUUCAACCCCAGGAAAGUACUGGAGCAAAUAAUCACACAACUAUUUGUAAUCACCCAGAGGGGUAGCUACCAAUGGGGAUUUGUCAAGAAAAAACUAUGCUAAAACACUCCAGUUAUUUUCUACAACAGAGGAAGUCCUAUCAUGCAGAGAGAAGUGGUGGAUGCCUCCAGUUUUCUCUCACUUUAGGAAGGUAGUGCUUCACACGACGUUUUCUUAAGCAAGGUUGGGCAAUGUGGUUCGGAUGAAGUUAGUGUAAGAGAUGCUGUAAAACCACAGAAGCAGCAAGACAGCAGUAACUGAUUCAGUGCUGGUUUGAUCUGGCAGCGAGAUGGGCUCAAGGACAGUCAGCCUUUCAAUCAGCCAGAGCUAAAUUAUCAUUCUUGCCCUGGAUAGUGGAACUGAUAUUACCUAAUUACAGUUUCAGGUGAUCCAAAGCAAAGAGAACCAGUGGCAUGUGGAGAGGUGGGAUGGCAUUCAGGAGGACCAUGCUGGGCUGGAAUAAGCAUGGUUUAAUGCAGGAGUGGGUGAGGGUGUUGCAUCAAGGGAUGGGGUGAAGCACAGACAGAUGGACACUAUGCUUGCAUUUGGACACUGCACUUUGGGAGCAACAGAGAUGCUUGGAGAGACUUCAGAGGUGAGCAGUGAAAAUGAUGAAAGACCUGGAAAAUACAACUUAUGAGGAACAGAUGAAUGACCUGGGGCUGCUAAGCUUAAAAAAGGAGAAAGUGCUAGGGAGGAAGAAAUUAUAACAACUUUCAAGUAUGUUGAAGAUGGUCACAAAGGGGAAGAGAAGGACUUGCUCUCUGUGUUCAUCCUGGGUAGGACAGGAACAAAUGGGCUUAGUGUGCAGCAAAGAGAUUUAAUUAAAACCUAAAGUGAGUCUUCCCUAACAGUAAGACCGAGAUGCCAUGACAGGCUGCUGGAGAGCCAUGGAAUCUGCAGGGACCUAGGGGAUCCUGUCUAGAGGCAGAGGGAUGGUCCAGAUGACUCACUGAG